GCAUCAUAAUGUUUGCUGACUGUUUAAAUAGAUUUUUGAUCAUCACUGUGUCACCAAUCUUUUCAGAUCUUAAUUUUUCUUGCAAGUAAUAAAAGGGUCUAUUGUUCUUAAACAAUUACAAUCAUAGAAGCAAAAAAGAAGACUUGCUUUUUUCUUUUGCACAUCCUAACUUCAUUUUGAUAACUGAUUCUCAAAAUUGGAUGAAAAAUCAAGGCAAAUCAUUUUGGUUAGAUUCACAUUGUUGGUUAAGAGCGUCUCCUAGCAUAUUUGGUUUUAUAUAUUUUCUGGUUAUGUGUGCUGCCAGAUGAUGAUUAAACCUCAUAAUCCAUGUGGUUGCUUUUUACUAUUUUUUGCUGCCAAAUCCAAUGAUAUCUAGAUACUUGUAUAUGCUCGAUGUGUUGUGUUGGAUACAAGCAGAUACAAAUACUGGAUACUUGCAGUGUAUGUGUUAGCUGAUUUUUUAAUUUAUUUUUUUCAUUAGAAAUCUUGACAAUUGUCUUAGGGUGUGUUUGGGUGACACAUCAUCAUCAAAGCCUUAUACCAACUAAUUGGGGUUGGCUACAUGAAUCAUGGUAUUAAGAAAUGGUUAUGUGACAGCUAUAUGCCUAUAACAGUGAAAACGGCGCCCAUCACACGAUGCAAGGCUGUAACUGCUAAUUGAAAAAGGUGGCCUGUAACAAGCUUAUAAUGGCCUUCAAGCCCAUAUCGAGCUGAUAUGGGGCCAUAACAGACUGAUUUGAGGUCGAUACACUUGUUCCUUAGAAAAAUAAAAAAUAAAAAUCGGCUGUUAUAUGGCCGUAGUGGUCAUUUCUGCUCGUAGCAUAACAACCACGAGGUUAGCCGUUGUGGCUACUGUUACAUUUUUGAAUACUUAUUAAUUCCUCGUUACCACUCCUAUUGUUACUAAAAUUGUGCUCCAUAUACUCAAUUUUAGUCUGACUAAUGUUCAUUCGCUUAGAUUCUAAAGCACUUCUCCAUAAAUCUAAAUUUGUGUUUGCGCCCUCCCUUGUCUUGUCAAUCCAUCUGCAAACAAUGUAUACCAUCAGAUCUCUUCCUUGAAAUGCCCUGUUAACUUGUCCAUAACUAAUGCGAAAAGGUAUGGGCUCAAUGCCCACCAAUGCAAGCCUGCAGUAAUUGGGAACUCACUUGUUUCUCCACUAACGCUUCUCACAUUUGUAUUGCUCCCUCAAUUGUUGGGCCAUGUUGCUCGCCUAUAUGAGGCCUACAAGCUCGUCAUUUGCUAUGUGGAGCCCUCUGCAGGUGUGGAUCCUCCUUUUUGGGUCCUCUGUUUUUCUAUAUUAGGGAUCUCUUUGGAUCUUGGUACUGUCUUUCUGUAAGCAAUGCUGAGUGGCGCUGAGUUGGAGUUAGGUGGUGUUGCUGGUGCUAGCAGGGGAUAUGCUUUUGGUUUGAGGCCCUUCUUGUCUUUAUUUUAGCCAACCAAGGCUGUCGUAGUAUAUAUAGGAUCCGCGGGAACCUUGGCUUGGCAGAAGUGGUUACCCAAAAGCAUUUAAAGAACCAUACAACUGGGGAAUUUACUGGGUUCUACCUAACUGUACUGGGAGGUGAGAAUGCAGGAAAUGGGUGGUGGGUGAGGAGGUUGGCUAAGCACAUUCAAGUGUUUAGAACAACAGGAAGCAACUGAAUUGAGCUGGCUCAUGUGGUUAGGUGAGAAAAGUAAAUGCUACAUGCAUUAGUAGGUUCACAUGUGCUGGUGCAGGAUGCAUGCAGGAUCCGGGCCGUUCAUCAGGACUCUACAACUAUGUAUGUUUCAUGGCCAAAAUGUUAGGCUUAACUGCCGCAUCAGGUAGCUACAUUUGUAUGUUGAAUGUGGACCAUUAGUCAAAUCCUUUUUAAGAGGUUAUUUUCUCAUUAGCAUGCAACCCACCUGAUGAGUACAUUAGUGGGUUUUUGGGUCAGGGCACAUAACAGUGGCCCCACCUGGUUAAAGACCCAGAUCUCUCACGUGUUGUGUUGAAAGGUAUCAUGCUCCGUGUCGAGUAACCUUGGCAGGACUUCAGGUUUGAAAUCCUGUAUUUUACAUAUCCAUAUGAUUAAGUCCUUGGGUCUCCAAAAUAGUGUAAAAAGAAGUGAUUCAAAUCAUUGCUAUUUGACUUGGGCCUGUUCUGAAAAAGUUGAGGUAUUUCGAAUUGUUUGUUGACAAGUAAGGGAAAACCUCUGAAAUGAUUUCAAUAUUGGACGUUAGACACGUUUUUUUACAUUUCUUUCACUCAACAUGUGGUCUUGCAGAAACUGAAUAUCAAUUUACAAGUAGUGUCUACAGAAAGGAAUUUUCUUUGAUCAACAUCAUCAUUCACAAAAACAUUCCAUUAGAUUGCAGUGCCAAAGAAUAUCAAUACCCUUUAAUUUAUUAGUAUAUAUAUAUAUUUUAAUAGAGGUAAUGGAGUUUUAUUAGAAAAGCAUUGCCAAAGAAGGGCUCUAAAGCAAAACACAAUAGCCAAGGCCCAAAUAAAGAAGAAAAAUUACACUCAUCAAAAUCCCUUGAACUUAAAGCCCAUCCCAUUACAUCUAACUUUGCCCUUCUAAGGACCUCCAAUGCCAUCCCGUUCUGGAGGGCUAACCUCCAAACCACCCAAUUUCUGGUGUUUGCACAUGAAUUAUUCCAUAGUUUGUUUACAUCCUUCACAUUUUGAAUCCGACAUCCUUCUCUGUUACAUAUCAGGCAAACUGCAUUUCAUUUGAUCUGACCACUCAUCCAAACCUGCAGUUUGCAAGUUAUAUCUUAUUGUUAGUUCUUACUCACUUUUUUCCAUUUCACCAAUUUAGGACCACUGCUCAUUUCCUUUUUGAUUGCUCUAUUCAUGGUCACCAAUUUGAUGGUUAGGAUAUCUUAUAAAGAAGGUAAAGGACCGAAGAUUGUGACUACCCUUACGUCAUGAAACCCAUGAAAGGAACCUUUUUUAAUGCAUUACUAUCAACCCCAGUACCAGGACAUAUCUCACCAUGAUCAAUUCCAACUUGGAAUUGAAUGGAAUGAAAAAGACAGUAUGAGAAGAAAUCCAUAGACUUAAGAUAUCUCUUCAACAAAAUAUCUUAUAAAAAUCGUCUUUCUUCUCAUUAUAUGUAGGAAGGAAAGGUGAGGCUAGCACUCAUGCAGCCUCAUGUAGAGUGUGACAGAGCCAAAUCCAUAUUUUCCUAAUAUAGAGUAAUAUAGAUUAUAGAGAACGGUGUACAAGUAGCUCCAUGAAAUUUAUUGCUGUAUGUUGCUCUUCACAUUAUUAUUUAAGUGCUGUGCUUUUUUGGUAGGACCAUUUUCAGAAUUCAUAAUAUAUAUUCAAAGAAUAAGACGAAAUAAAAGGACACCAUUUAAUUUCAUUUAAUACUGUUGGUGGGACGUUCAGUUCAGCUGAACAAAAAAAAAAAAAAAAAAAAAAGAUGUCCGUUGUAUCAUAUCAAUUUUUU